rnacentral:lncRNA from 1 species
CUGGGACCCUGGGACCCUGUGCUCCGACCCCACCUGCAAGGCUGCGCCCUCCGCAGGGGGCCGUCCGGGGGGGCCCUGCCCGCGGGUCACUGCCAGGAUCCUGCAAGCAGCCAGCGGGCACCGCUGUCACCACAUUUCACACUCUGAGGAGCUCUGGGCACAGCCUCCAGGGAAAGCCUGGCUGCCGACUCUGGCCCCCUGACUCCUGAAUCCUGCGAGUCACACGGCGGCACGGCCUGCAUAUCGGGGAGGAUGGCAGGCUGGGCUGUCCUGAGGUGACCAGGGAAUGCCAGACGCUUUGGGGUGAGGGUUUGCUUGCCGGCUUUGGGGCAGGCCAAGGGAUUCUGCAGGGGCAGUAGGUCCCCGCGAUCUUCUGGGGAGGGGCCGGCUGCCGAAUCUCUGGGAUUCAAAUGUGGAAAACCCACAGGGGGCAUUCCCGUGAUGACUGAAAGAAGAAGUGGCAGCGUCACAGCUGAAGGGAGGCUGUCAGAGUGACCAGAGUGGCCAGUCCAGAGGAGACGGGUGGGGCAAAGUCUCCAGGAGGCCAGGAGAUGCCUUCAAGAAAAGAAAUGGAAAGGAGUGAUGACCUGAUGCGUGUGAGAACACGGGGACGAGCCUUGCGGCUCCGUGGGAGAGCUUGGGUGAGGACCACCCGUGCCGCGGCGACCUCUGAUCGUCACCCAAGCUGUGCCCUCCCAUUUCACGAAAAUUAUCACCUGCUGAGCCCCCUUGCUGCUGCUCUCUGGGCGUGCACUGUGAGUGCACUGUGGAGUUUACGGACACCGGCCCCCGCGACGGUGGAGUUUACGGGGACCGGCCCCCGCGAUGGUGGAGUUUACAGACACUGGCUCCCGCGACGGUGGAGUUUACGGGGACCGGCCCCCGCGACGGCAGAGUUUAUGGGGACCGGCUCCCCCGACGGUGGGGGCCCACGAGUCCCAGCAUCUGCAGCAGAGUCGCCGGAUUGCAUGAGGUCAGCGAGUGUGUCCACUGCAGACCCUGCGGAGCCACCAUCCAAAACCACAUUGAGAAUAUUUCCAUUACUCUAGGAAAAGCUUCUCCGUCCAGCUGAGGCGGGAUGUCAUAGACUUACCCUCCUACCCGAAACAGCCAAAAAGCAAAACAAAACCAGACAAAACGCAGACACAUGGCUUCCAAGACACGGGACACCAGGCAUUAGAGGACAGUAACCCUGAGUGAUGGGAACAGCCGUGCCCUAGUCACCCGUGCUCACUGCCCUGGGAGGCAGUCCAGGCUGUGGGUGGGAAGGCGGAACCCACGCAGGUCCCAGUGGACCCCCGAGGCUGGACAGACCGAGGCGGCUCGAGUUCAUGGACACAGUACCAGAGUGGAGAGGGUCGCACAGAGAGGGACCCUGAAGACCUGGAUGGGACCCCUGGAGUAUUUGGAAGAGCAUGGCCCUGCGGAUCCCCAUAAGGAAACUCCCCAGGGUGGGUAAAAAGGCACCCGGAAGGAUGAGAGGGAACAGGGCCCGACUCCUGCAGGGCUGAGGACAGUGUCUCUCCCCAUCAGCCAAGCAGGAAAUCUCGUAACUCACGGGGCCUUGGGUGAAGCCCUUGGGAAGGGCUUGCCUCGGCGGGGGACGAUCAGCCUGAGCCCGAGCUGUGCUCUGAGCCCUCCUACCAAG